GAUGAACGCUGGCGGCGUGCUUAACACAUGCAAGUCGAACGAUGAAGCUCAGCUUGCUGGGUGGAUUAGUGGCGAACGGGUGAGUAACACGUGAGUAACCUGCCCUUAACUCUGGGAUAAGCCUGGGAAACUAGGUCUAAUACCGGAUAGGAGCGCCUACCGCAUGGUGGGUGUUGGAAAGAUUUAUCGGUUUUGGAUGGACUCGCGGCCUAUCAGCUUGUUGGUGAGGUAAUGGCUCACCAAGGCGACGACGGGUAGCCGGCCUGAGAGGGUGACCGGCCACACUGGGACUGAGACACGGCCCAGACUCCUACGGGAGGCAGCAGUGGGGAAUAUUGCACAAUGGGCGAAAGCCUGAUGCAGCGACGCCGCGUGAGGGAUGACGGCCUUCGGGCUGUAAACCUCUUUCAGUAGGGAAGAAGCGAAAGUGACGGUACCUGCAGAAGAAGCACCGGCUAACUACGUG
rnacentral:rRNA from 1 species